UGGGGAAUCUUCCGCAAUGGACGAAAGUCUGACGGAGCAACGCCGCGUGAGUGAAGAAGGUUUUCGGAUCGUAAAACUCUGUCUUUUGGGGCGAACGUGAGUAUGGUGAACAAUCAUAGUCAGUGACGGUACCAAAGGAGGAAGCCACGGCUAACUACGUGCCAGCAGCCGCGGUAAUACGUAGGUGGCAAGCGUUGUCCGGAAUUAUUGGGCGUAAAGAGCGCGUAGGCGGGAUAGUCAGUCUGUUGUAAAAGUGCGGGGCUCAACCCCGUGAUGGCAAUGGAAACAGCUAUUCUUGAGUGCAGGAGAGGAAAGUGGAAUUCCCAGUGUAGCGGUGAAAUGCGUAGAUAUUGGGAGGAACACCAGUGGCGAAGGCGACUUUCUGGACUGUGUCUGACGCUGAGGCGCGAAAGCCAGGGGAGCGAACGGGGAUUAGAUACCCCCGGUAGUCCUGGCCGUAAACGAUGGGUACUAGGUGUGGGGGGUAUCGA
rnacentral:rRNA from 1 species